rnacentral:RNase_P_RNA from 2 species
GAAGCGCGCCGGACCGCCGCUGGUGCAUGUCCCGAAAGGGCGCACUGGAGGAAAGUCCGGACUGCACAGGACAGCGCAGGAGCUAACGGCUCUCCACCGCGAGGUGAGGAUCAGAGCAACAGAGACGAGUCGGCCGGGGCGACCCGGCCGGGUGAAACGGGCAAUCUCUGCGCGCAGCAACACCAAGUAGGCCAGCAUUGAUGCGGUUCGCAGAGCUGGCGGGUAGGUGGCAUCGAGCCGUUCCGGUGACGGGCGGCCCAGAGUAAUGGCGGUCACGCCGGGGGCGACCCCGGUGCACAGAAUCCGGCUUACAGGCGCGCUUCACAC